GACCGCGUAGCUCAGUUGGAAGAGCAUUGGGCUAGUAUUCCAAAGGUCGUAGGUUUGAAUCCCACUGUGGCCG
rnacentral:tRNA from 1 species